GUGCCAGCAGCCGCGGUAAGACGAACCGUGCGAACGUUGUUCGGAAUCACUGGGCUUAAAGGGCGCGUAGGCGGGUCACCAAGUCCGGGGUGAAAUCUUUCGGCUUAACCGGAAAACUGCCUUGGAUACUGGUGACCUCGAGGGAGGUAGGGGUCUGCGGAACUUCUGGUGGAGCGGUGAAAUGCGUUGAUAUCAGAAGGAACGCCGGUGGCGAAAGCGGCGGACUGGACCUCCACUGACGCUGAGGCGCGAAAGCUAGGGGAGCAAACGGGAUUAGAUACCCCGGUAGUCC
rnacentral:rRNA from 1 species